rnacentral:rRNA from 1 species
UCGGACGACGUGCAGGUCGGCGGGGUAAAAGGGGUGAGGGAAGGGUUAUCGGGAAUUACUGGGCGUAAAGGGCAGUCAGGCGGCGGCGUAAGGCGGACGUGAAAGCUCCUGGGUCAACUGGGAGAGGUCGUUCGGAACGGCGCGGCUUGAGGUUGGAAGAGGAGAGCGGAAUUCCCGGUGUAGUGGUGGAAUGCGUAGAUAUCGGGAGGAACACCAGUGGCGAAAGCGGCUCUCUGGUCCACACCUGACGCUCAGGUGCGAAAGCGUGGGUAGCGAACGGGAUUAGAUACCCCUGUAGUC